rnacentral:rRNA from 1 species
UACAGAGGUGGCAAGCGUUGUUCGGAAUUACUGGGCGUAAAGGGCGCGUAGGCGGCCUUCUAAGUCAGACGUGAAAUCCCCCGGCUUAACCUGGGAACUGCGUCUGAUACUGGAGGGCUUGAGUAUGGGAGAGGGAUGUAGAAUUCCAGGUGUAGCGGCGAAAUGCGUAGAUAUCUGGAGGAACACCGGUGGCGAAGGCGGCAUCCUGGACCAACACUGACGCUGAGGAGCGAAAGCCAGGGGAGCAAACGGG